rnacentral:rRNA from 1 species
GACGAACGCUGGCGGCGUGCUUAACACAUGCAAGUCGAACGAUGAAGUUCCUUCGGGAAUGGAUUAGUGGCGAACGGGUGAGGAACACGUGAGAAACCUGCCUUUCAUUUUGGGAUAACUCCGGGAAACCGGGGCUAACACCGAAUACUCCGUCUCGGCGGCAUCGCUGAGCCGGGAAAAAAUUUUGAUGAAAGAUGGUCUCGCGGCCUAUCAGCCAGUUGGUGAGGUAAUGGCUCACCAAGGCAACGACGGGUAGCCGGCCUGUGAGGGCGACCGGCCACACGGGGACUGAGACACGGCCCAGACUCCUACGGGAGGCAGCAGUGGGGAAUAUUGGGCAAUGGGCGCAAGCCUGACCCAGCGACGCCGCGUGGGGGAUGAAGGCCUUCGGGUUGUAAACCUCUUUCAGUAGGGAGGAAGCGAAAGUGACGGUACCUAAAGAAGAAGCACCGGCUAACUAUGUGCCAGCCGCCGCCGUAA